AUAUCCCGUUUUUAAAAGCCCCGUCCACAGUUCGAUAUAAAGCUCCUCUCUAUCUAUUAGUGACCUUCGUCUAUAGAUGUGCUGUGGAGCGCUGUCAUUUAAUUUGGGCACUAGUUUAGCAUGCCAAGUGCUCGUUUUGUUUGCUAACUUCUGCCCUCUCCAUCUCGCGGAACGGCAAGAAUGUCAGCAAAGACAUGCUUUGGCCUGAUUCGACUCCUGAUCGUCGUCAGUUUAUUGGUUAUUGUGAGCAGCCCUACUGCAGGUGGCUGGUGGCCGCCUUGCUCGAGCACUGAUCCAAACAACCCCUGUCCACAGUCGUGCAGUCCGCACUCGUCUUCUUGUGAUUAGCACCUGAGAGCCCGGGAGCUCAUCCUGAUUCUACAAUAUGCAUAAAACUCGAGAAGACUAUCUGGUUGUUUCCAUUGAUUGAUCUGUUAAUGCUGGUACAUUUGGAUGAGUCUGCCUUUUCAUGUCAGUAAACUUGAAUAAAUCAAGUACUUCUUGUAAUAGGAAUUAGUAUAUCAACGACUUUCGAUCAACUUUCAUACUUGCGUAUGUAAAUGUAAUGACGGACUUGUUUGAUGGAUUAGUCCAUCCGCUCGCUUCCGCUCCUCAUUACGUGGACUGCCAACUAACUUUUCCAAUGGAUGGCCUGAAUGAAUAAAAAGGUUUCUUUUAUCCGUGGGACAACCACAAA